ACCCGAGAAAAGGAUUUUAGUCCUACCUAAAACUUAAUUUAUAAAACCAAAUUACUCCACAACUUUAGAGCUAUUCAAAUAAGGUACAGCCUAUUUGAAAAAGGAAACAACCUAAAACAAUGGGUACUUAAUAUGAUCCGCACAAUCAAGUAGGCCUAAAAGCAGCCAACUAUUAAAAAGCGUCAAACCUUUAUUGUUUAGAUCAUUAAUACCACAACCCCAAACUACCCCUUCACCAGUAUCGAGUAAUUCUAUAUUCCUAUAGAACCUUUUAUGUUAAUACUAGUAACAAGAAGAUUGACCUUCUCUUUAAUGCGAACAAAAAUCAGCAAGGACACACCACUGAUAGUUAACACCCAUAAACUAAACACAGCAACCCAUCAAGAAAACCCUCCCCAACUUAAUGUUAACCUUACUCCAGAGCAUUUUAAGAAAGAUUAAAAAGAAAGGAAGGAACUCGGCAAAAGUUAACCCCGCCUGUUUACCAAAAACAUCGCCUCUUGCAUCACAUAAGAGGUCCAGCCUGCCCAGUGACUUUAUUCAACGGCCGCGGUAUCCUAACCGUGCAAAGGUAGCGUAAUCACUUGUCCUUUAAAUAAGGACUAGUAUGAACGGCACCACGAAGGUUAAACUGUCUCCCUUUCUUAAUCAGUGAAACUAUUCUCCCCGUGAAGAACCGGGGAUAAAGAUAUAAGACGAGAAGACCCUAUGGAGCUUUAAAUAUUAACAACAAUUGCUCUUUACAGCACAUCAGCACUCAUGAUUGUUAAUUUUAGGUUGGGGCGACCACGGAGUAAAAUUUAACCUCCUUGCUGAAAUACAACAAACUACAAUUUUUAGUAUCAUUAAAUUGACAUCCAUUGACCCAAUAUUUUGAUCAACGAAACAAGUUACCCUAGGGAUAACAGCGCCAUCCACUUCAAGAGCUCAUAUCGACAAGUGGGCUUACGACCUCGAUGUUGGAUCAGGGUGCCCCGGUGGUGCAGCCGCUACUAAAGGUUCGUUUGUUCAACGAUUUAAACCCU
rnacentral:rRNA from 1 species